AGCAUUUCGGGAUCCGUGCUUAUAAUGUGAGGGAGGUUGAGGCCAAGCGUGGAGCGUGAUGUGGGUUUUACUUUUUGUAAUAUUCAGUUAUGGUAGUAUAUGAAGAGAUCCCGUGAGAGCUGGUUCACCUAGAAGCUGAGGGACAUCUAGCUGCAGUUGCUGCUGUCUGCGGUGUGCAGAUGUGAAGACACUUUGUCAGUUGCAGUAAAGGCAACGAGGGAUGUGGGUGACAAUUCAGACUUAGGCAUGCCGAAGAUAGGGAACGAGGGGCCCCAAUUGCUACUUACAGACAUGAGAAGGUCAGGUGCCUUGAGGCUGUGAAAUUCGUAGCAGCUUAUCACAUGAAAAGAUCUUGGAACAUGCACUGAAGUGGUGUACAACUUAUGUGUUGAAAUAAAGUGACUGUCUUCAA